UACGUGCGGGGCGAACGUUGUUCGGUGUCACUGGGCUUAAAGGGCGCGUAGGUGGCUGCGUAAGUAAGGUGUGAAAGCCCUCGGCUUACCCGGGGAAUUGCGCCUUAUACUGCGCGGCUUGAGGAUUUCAGGGGAAGGGGGAACUCCAGGUGUAGCGGUGAAAUGCGCAGAUAUCUGGGGGAAGGCCGGCGGCGAAGGCGCCCUUCUGGGAAAUUCCUGACACUGAGGCGCGAAAGCGUGGGGAGCAAACAGG
rnacentral:rRNA from 1 species